rnacentral:rRNA from 1 species
UGAGCUUGAUCCUGGCUCAGGACGAACGCUGGCGGCGUGCCUAAUACAUGCAAGUCGAACGCUUUUUCUUUCACCGGAGCUUGCUCCACCGAAAGAAAAAGAGUGGCGAACGGGUGAGUAACACGUGGGUAACCUGCCCAUCAGAAGGGGAUAACACUUGGAAACAGGUGCUAAUACCGUAUAACACUAUUUUCCGCAUGGAAGAAAGUUGAAAGGCGCUUUUGCGUCACUGAUGGAUGGACCCGCGGUGCAUUAGCUAGUUGGUGAGGUAACGGCUCACCAAGGCAACGAUGCAUAGCCGACCUGAGAGGGUGAUCGGCCACACUGGGACUGAGACACGGCCCAGACUCCUACGGGAGGCAGCAGUAGGGAAUCUUCGGCAAUGGACGAAAGUCUGACCGAGCAACGCCGCGUGAGUGAAGAAGGUUUUCGGAUCGUAAAACUCUGUUGUUAGAGAAGAACAAGGAUGAGAGUAGAACGUUCAUCCCUGA